GUGACUCACUGCAUCAGUGAGGCUGAUGGGAUGUCUGUCUGUCUGUCUGCACUGGGUACAGAAAGCAGAGCCUGGUGGUGGCAGUGGUACCUGUCCAUCGGGCAGUGCAAACUGGAGAUGGAGGAUGUCAGGAAAGCACUAAAAUCAUUAAUGGAGACAUCUGCUCCUUGUGACUGGCUGCAAUCUUCUGCCAAGAUGUGAGCUUGACUUCGACAUGGACCACGUAAUUCUUUGUUUUGUGGGAAGCUGUCCUAGACAUCCAAGAUGUUUAGCAGCAUCCCUGGCUUCUACCCAAUAGAGGCCAAAAAUUAUCUCCAGACAUUGCCAAGUGUCCCCCAAGGCCGGGAGGAGGGGGCAAAUUCACCCUCAGUUAAGAAAUACUGCUCUAGGGCUUCCCUGGUGGCACAGUGGUUAAGAAUCUGCCCACCAAUGCAGGGGACGUAGGUUUGAGCCCUGGUCCGGGAAGAUCCCACAUGCCACGGAGCAACUAAGCCCAUGCGCCACAACUACUGAGCCUGCACUCUAGAGCCUGCAAGCCACAACUACUAAGCCCACGCACCACCACUACUGAAGCCUGCACGUCUAGAGCCCUUGCUCUGCAACAAGAGAAGCCCGCACACCACAAUGAAGAGUAGCCCCCGCUCGCCACAACUAGAGAAAUGCCACGCACAGCAACGAGGACACAAU